ACAGCAUGGCGAGGGUAUUUUCUAAUCAGCUCUUUCAAUCUCUCCCAUGUCUCACAAAACAUCUCCCCAUCCAAUUGGAAGAAACUAGUUAUGACCUUACGGAUUU